AGCCACACGAAGACCAAAGUGAAGAGCAAGGAGCUGAACUCCACGCAGAACACAGCGCAGCGUCCUUUAAAGGAAGGCCAAAAACAACCCAACAAAAAUGCCAGGUGAUCAAAGCCGUCACAGCACAAUGUCCACAUCCAACGAGAAAUUGCUGCUAUGUCCAGACGCAGGGAAAGGUGGCCGUGGGAACGUGAGUCAGCAGCAACAGGCCCAGAAGGGCAGCCAUGGUGGACUUGUCAGACGUGGACCCUGAAAUGACAAUCACAGCGUGAUUUCAGGCAGGAGCCUGAAAUGGUACAGCUUUGGACAUCGGUUUGGCAAAUUCUUUUAGAGAGAAACACACACCUUCCCUAGGACCCCGCAACUCCACUCCUAGUAACCAAGUGAAAUGGAAGGAGUUGUCCUCAGCAAAACGUGUGUGCGGAAGUUCACAGUCACUUUCUCUGUGAUAACCAAGAGCUGGAAACCACUGCAACACCCACCAGCAGGUGAACGGAUUAACACACUGGGCUAGGGCCACACAAUGAGAUGCUACGUGGCAACACAAAAUGAACCGUGGACACACACUGCAUGGCGGAUGAAUAUGCAGACAUCAGGCCACGUGAAGGGAGCCAGGCCCCGAGGCGCCACGCUUUGUGAUUCAGGGAAGAAAGCACGCAGCCAAAGAGCGUAAAGAGGCUCAGAGGAGGCCCGGGUGCCCUGGAGAGACGCUGCGUCCUGCUGCUCUUUCCCUGACUGUGGAGACAGACUGCCCAGUCUCCUGCAGCAUUUCAGUUACACACACAGCAUUCCUGUCCCGCAGCAGAGAUUUCCCAGAUGAAGGAUUCCCCGGCGGGAGACGGCCCUGCACACAGGUCCUCUGCCACGCUGCUCACCAUGCCUGUGUGUUAUCUCCCCAUGAAAAGUCACCUAGGCCGAGCAUGGUGGCUCACGCCUGUAAUCCCAGCACUUUGGGAGGUGGAGGCGUGCGGAUCAUCUGAGAUCAGGAGUUUGAGACCA
rnacentral:lncRNA from 1 species